rnacentral:lncRNA from 1 species
CUCUUCUAGCUGGAAUAAUGGAGACUGUACCCUGUGUGCUGCAGCCCAUUGUAUGCUGCCGAUGGAGAGGCGGACAGGGGUGACAGGGGCUCUUGGCCUUAGCCCCUCAGCCCUAAUAUUCGUGAUCAAGUCUCCCGGCUAGUUUAAAGGUAAAAUUGAUAUGAUUAAAAAAUAGCCCCCCAAGACCCCCCAAAAAAGGAAGAAAGGAAGAGGGAGAGAGAGCGAGAGAGUACUGUUUAUAUAGAAAUUCUGAAAUUUACUCCCCAAACAAUCAAAGACGAGUCGUGAGCAGCUGAACCGAGAAAAAAAAAAAAAAAAAAAAAAAAAAGGAGGCUGGGGGGAGGGAAGCAUCGCAAAAGAGUGGGAGAGGAAGCAAAAAGCAAGCGUCCGGGAACCGGAGGCCUGCUGGAUGCCGGGUCCGCCUGUCCAGCCGCCCUCGGACACUGGACUGUACACGGUGGGUACCAGAAGCGAGACUCGGCCAAACACUGACCUAUCAGAGAAACCACAAGACAGAAGUAACCCUGUUACCAAGCUUAUGUGGAGUGAUGAACAUGCUUGCAAACCCUUCGGAGAAAGGUGGCCAUGGAUUUUCAUCACAGGUUGCAGCAGAUGGUUUCAAUAGUUCUGUUGAAUGCUCUUCAUCUUUGCCUUCAAGAGGAACCCCAGAUUUCAUUUACGGUCCAUUGCUAUGUUCUAGUAUGAUACUCUACUUUUCCACAGAACUCUUCCUGCUCAAGCUGAGAAGCAUGGCUAUAAUUUGCAAUUUUUGUUUUAUAAUAAGCUGGUGUUGAGGAAGGAGCUUUGGCAGUACAAGUAAUCACCAUUUCCACUGUCGAAAGCAUCUGGAAACUCAUCCCUACUGAUGGUGAGUCAGAGCCAUACUUAUGAGAAAUACUAUGAAUAUUACUCUGUUCAAUGAGGCACUGUUGGGAUGUUGAAGUAUGAUGCUUCAAUUGUUGAGUGUAAGCAGUCAAAUAAGACGGAAAAGGAAAGAAGUGGGGGCUGGGCAGAUGCUCAGUGUUUAAAUUACAGUUAUUUGUGGCAAAACUUGAGACAUCACAGGAAAAUCAGAUGUAGUGAUGUGUCUGUACCCAUAAUACUGGUAUUGAGUGGGGGAUCACCGGUUAGUGAGUCAUCAAAAUGUUGAGCCUUCAGUUCACUGAGAGAACCCAUUGCAAAAAAUAAGG